rnacentral:rRNA from 1 species
UACGGAGGGUGCAAACGUUGCUCGGAAUCACUGGGCGUAAAGGGUGCGUAGGCGGGUCUUUAAGUCAGGGGUGAAAUCCUGGAGCUCAACUCCAGAACUGCCUUUGAUACUGAAGAUCUUGAGUUCGGGAGAGGUGAGUGGAACUGCGAGUGUAGAGGUGAAAUUCGUAGAUAUUGGGAAGAACACCGGUGGCGAAGGCGGCUCUCUGGACCGACACUGACGCUGAGGCGCGAAAGCGUGGGGAGCAAACAGG